GUAACGGCGAGUGGAGUUGGAUUUAGCCCAGCACCGAAUCCUAGCGUCCGACGUGUCGUGUGGACCUGUGGUGUUAGGGGCCCCGGUCUUCGUUUUGCUUGUGGCGCCUCAGUUUCAUUGAAAGGGCUGUUGCUCCAGAGCGGGUGUCAGACCCUUGUGUAGCGCACGAGCGGACGAAGUUCUCAGGGGCCCCACGAGUCGGGUUGUUUGAGAGUGCAGCCCAAAGACGGUGGUAAGCUCCAUCGAAGGCUAAACACUGCCACGAGUCCGAUAGCGAACAAGUACCGUGAGGGAACGUUGAAAAGGACUUCGAAGAGAGAGUUCAAGAGUACGUGAAACCGCCUAAAGGGAAACGAGUGGCUCCGCAUUGUCGGCCUGCGGUGUUCAUUUCGCUCGCCUGAGCGACCGGUCGUUCGUUGGUCUUGCUUCUAGCUUGAUCUCGGUGCGAUGCUGGUCUCUCGCCUGGCGAGCGUGUGCAUUUGCCGCGAGGCAGGGCGUCAUGAUCGCUUCUGUAUGAUUCGCGACCGUCGGUGGUGUCGGCGUGGGCGACCUUCUCUUCGCGAGAUUGUCGACUUGCGCGGCCUGCCUUCCCGCGUGUCUGGGAGCGUGUAACGAUCGGCUCGACUUCGUCGGUUGCCGUCUUCGCUGCUGAGGCCGGCCGUCGGUUCGCACUCGUGCGAUCGUGCGGUGGUCCUGGCUCGAAGCUAGGUGAUUGGCGUGCAGGGCCUUGCAUCGGUGGCGAUUGAGUCGGUCUGCUACUCGUCCCGUCUUGAAACACGGACCAAGGAGUCUAGCAUGUGCGCGAGUCGCAGAGUGCUUAGAGACUCUUGGGCGAAAUGAAAGUGAGAUGACGCGCCGUCCCAUCGGGCGUCGAAAAAGGUGGGAUCUGCUCGCGCGGUCUUGAGACUAGUGCGACGGCGCACCACCAGCCCGCCUCAUUGUGACGCCGACCGCUGGCCGCCAGGCUGACGGCGGACGUCGAGACGGAGCGAGAGCGUACAUGCUGGUACCCGAAAGAUGGUGAACUAUGCCUGGGCAGGACGAAGCCAGAGGAAACUCUGGUGGAGGUCCGCAGCGGUUCUGACGUGCAAAUCGAUCGUCAAACCUGGGUAUAG
rnacentral:rRNA from 1 species